GACGAACGCUGGCGGCGUGCUUAACACAUGCAAGUCGAACGGAAAGGCCCUGCUUUUGUGGGGUGCUCGAGUGGCGAACGGGUGAGUAACACGUGAGUAACCUGCCCUUGACUUUGGGAUAACUUCAGGAAACUGGGGCUAAUACCGGAUAGGAGCUCCUGCUGCAUGGUGGGGGUUGGAAAGUUUCGGCGGUUGGGGAUGGACUCGCGGCUUUUCAGCUUGUUGGUGGGGUAGUGGCUUACCAAGGCUUUGACGGGUAGCCGGCCUGAGAGGGUGACCGGCCACAUUGGGACUGAGAUACGGCCCAGACUCCUACGGGAGGCAGCAGUGGGGAAUAUUGCACAAUGGGCGGAAGCCUGAUGCAGCAACGCCGCGUGCGGGAUGACGGCCUUCGGGUUGUAAACCGCUUUCGCCUGUGACGAAGCGUGAGUGGCGGUAAUGGGUAAAGAAGCACCGGCUAACUACGUG
rnacentral:rRNA from 1 species